AUUGAACGCUGGCGGCAGGCCUAACACAUGCAAGUCGAGCGAGCGGCGGACGGGUGAGUAAUGUCUGGGGAACUGCCCGAUGGAGGGGGAUAACACCUGGAAACGGUAGAUAAUACCGCAUACUAUCGGAUGUGCCCAGAUGGGAUUAGCUAGUAGGUGAGGGAACGGCUCACCUAGGAGACGAUCCCUAGCUGGUCUGAGAGGAUGACCAGCCACACUGGAACUGAGACACGGUCCAGACUCCUACGUGAGGCAGCAGUGGGGAAUAUUGCACAAUGGGCGCAAGCCUGAUGCAGCCAUGCCGCGUGUAUGAAGAAGGCCUUAGGGUUGUAAAGUACUUUCAGUAGGGAGGCGUUACCGACAGAAGAAGCACAGGCUAACUCCGUGCCAGCAGCCGCGGUAAUUC
rnacentral:rRNA from 1 species